CAUUUUUGGAAGAUAUGGUAGCUAUUCUCUUCAUCACAUCCACAUCUAGGACACUGGGAAUUCCUAACAACCCUUUUGAUUUUGAGGUUGCUAAAAGUUGGGAUAAAGUUCCAAGAGAUCCUCCAUACUGUCAUUUGAAUUUUUGAGGGAAUAUGUAAUUUCCAUAAUUUAGUAUAGAAAAUUUUUUCCUCGGUAUGUAACAUUAAUCCAUUAGGAUCAAGGUUAGUCUGCUGUAAUAGUUUAUAAGCACUCCUUACGGAGAACUCCCCUGUCGGUUCUCCUCUCCAUACUUGAAAGUCCUCUUGUACUGUCUCGCUAGUGGGAUCUGCAAAAUUUUCUCCGCAAUGACCGGUUGGAAGGUAUUUCUAAUCAACUCUAUUUUCCAACUCAUGAUAUUUGAAUCAAUUAAAUCAGAGACUAAUUUAAUAUUAUCAUUUCCAUCCUGAAUCGGUAUUCUGUCUGCUUCGAUCCCUGGUAUCCACGAAUCAAUCCAGAUGGAAAUUUGAUCACCUCUCCCCACCCUCCAUCCACGUCCUCUUUCAAGGAGUCCUCUCGCAGCCCAAAUGCUCUUCCAGGUAAAUGAAGGUAAAUUCCUCAACCGAGCUUCGUAGAAAUGAGAAUUAGGAAAAUAUUUUGCUUUCAAAACUCGGGCCAAUAAUGAAUCCGGAUAAUUAAUAAGACGCCACCCCUGCUUCGCUAAUAACGCAAUAUUAAACUGUGCAAAAUUACGAAAACCGAGACCUCCAUCUUCUUUAAGUAAACAAAUAUUCUUCCAAGUGCACCAAUGAAUACUUUUUUAUUUUGUCUCUUUCGCCACCAGAAAUUGGCUAUAAUUUUAUCCAAAUUUGUACAAAGAGUCUUAGGGAGUAAAAAACAAGCCAUUGAGUAAUUUGGGAUAGCUUGGAGAACUGCUUUUAUAAACACUUCCUUACCACCUUGAGAGAGAAACCUGACACUUCAGUUGUCGAUUUUUUGCUUUAGCCUAUCCUUCAGAAUUUGAAAAGAUGAUCUCUUUCUUCUCCCCACCAUACUAGGAAGCCCUAAAUACCUUUCCAAAUCAUUUGCUCUUCUGACUCUAAGGAUCUGUGAAACAGCCUCCCUUUCUCUAUCUUUUGUGUUUGUACUGAAGAAAACCAUCGAUUUAUCAAAAUUCACACACUGCCCGGAACUCACCUCAUAAUCUUUCAAAAUCUGUUUUAAUGAAUGUGCACCCCCUUCAGUAGCUUCUGCAAAUAAAAUACAGUCAUCUGCAAACAGUAAGUGAGUUAUAGCUGGCCCAUGUCUACUUGCUUUAACACCUUUAAGAACAUUAUCUCCUUCUGCAAGCCUCAUUAAACUUGAGAUUCCCUCCCCACAAAAGAGAAAUAAGAAAGGGCUUAGAGGAUCCCCUUGUCUGAGACCUCUAGUCGGAAGAAACGUUCGUCCAGUAUUUCUAUUACAAAUUACAGAAUACGAGACCGAAGAUACACACUUCAAUACUAACUCGACCCAUCCUGGAUCAAAGCCCAUUUUUUCCAUCACCCCUUCCACAAAGCCCCAUUCAACUCUAUCGUAAGCCUUACUCAUGUCCAAUUUAACAACCAUGAAUCCUUUUUUUCCCAACCUCUUGAGUUUUAAGGUGUGAAGAAUUUCAUAAGCAAGGAGCACGUUAUCAGAAAUCAACCUUCCUGGAACAAAAGCACUCUGUGCUAAAUCGAUACAUUUAUGAAUUACCCCCCGAAGUCUAUUUGCAAUGACUUUAGCAAUUAGUUUAUAGAUCACAUUACAUAAGCUAAUAGGUCUAAACUGAGUCAUGCUUGAGGGAUUUUGGGUUUUUGGGAUGAGCACAAUGUUUGUUUUGUUAAUUGAGCGUAAUUCCAUACCUUCGUUUAAUCUUUGGAGGCAAAAUUUGGAGACGUCAUCACCAAUGAUUGGCCAGCAUUUCUGAUAAAACAAGGCUGGAAAACCAUCCUCACCUGGAGCUUUCGUCGGUCCUAUUUUUGAAAGGGCUUCCCAUAUCUCUUCCUUCGUGUACCUUGCCUUCAGUUUACUGUUAUCUUCCUCAGAAAUACAUCUAUCAAUACCUAAUAGAAUUUUCUCAUAGCAAUUUCGUCCUCCUGUUGAAAAUAACUUUAAAAAAUAUGAGCUAGCAAUCGCCUCCAUCUCCCUACAAUCCUCUGUCUCCCUUCCAUCAUCAAAUUUCAACCUCUGGAUCCUAUUAUACUUCCUUCUUUGAGACGCUUGUUUGUGAAAGAAAGCUGUAUUUCUGUCUCCAUAUUUCAGCCAGUUAAUUCGGGCCCUUUGCUCCCAGUAUCUUUCAUCCUUGUCAAUCUCAAAGUUCAGGUGGAGUUUUGUAUCAAUAAUCUCUGCCAGGUUCUCAUCACUUCUUUCUGAUUCAAGUAAAACUUCCAGUCUUGAAGUUAAAACCUCUUUAUUCAUCUUCCUACUUUGCUGGAUCAAUGCUCCCCACCUUUGUAACCCCCUUUUUAAGUUUUCCAGCCUGUAUAAAAAAUCUCUUGUGGAAUUUUCCCAAAUGCAUUUGAUUUCAUUGAAGAAUGUCUCCUCUAAAACCCACCAAGCUUCGAAUUUGAAAUUCUUUUCUGUCACCCUUUUAACUCUGAAAUUCAUGUCAAUAAGAAGUGGACAAUGAUCAGAAAAUGAAUGUGGGAGAUGUUGUAUUAGGGAAUAAAUUAUGCCAUUGCUCCGUUGCCACUCCUCUAUCAAGUCUUUCUUGUAUGUUUGUUUCUAGCAGGUUACCCCUCUCCCACGUGAACCAGUUCCCUGAAUAACCCAAGUCCAUCAGAUUACAAUCAUCUAAAACCUUUCGAAAAGCUUCCAUCCUUCUUUCCUCUCUAGGUAUUCCACAUUUCUUCUCAAAACCGUAUAAGAUUUCAUUAAAAUCCCCACAAACCAUCCAUGGAAAAUCACCCUGAGUACCAAGUUGACGCAGCAAAUUCCAAGAUUCUUCUCUUUCGCCUGAAUAAGGAGAUCCAUAGAAACCUGUAAGUCUCCACUUUCCCCCAUCUCCUUCGUCAACAAUCACAUCAAUAUGACGACUUGAGAAGCUUUGAAGCACAAUAUUAACAUUCCCUUUCCAAGCAAGACAGAGUCCUCCUCUAGACCCCACCGACUCUACUUCAAUUCCACAUUGAAAACCACAACUUCCUCUUAUUUUUUCCAUCCUUUUCUUGUUUAUUUUAGUCUCUAUCAAAAAAACCACCUGGGGAUUUUGAAGCUUCAAAAAAUAUCAAAGCCGACGAACUGUUCGAGGAUUCCCCAAACCUCGAACAUUCCAACUUAAGAUUUUCAUUGCGACCGGCCGGCUUGCCUCUUGGCAGCCGCCGAUAAAGAAUGAUUGCCGUUAGGAAACCUCCUGAUUCUCCCUUCUGUAACACUCAUUUCUUCGAUAUCCUCCCUCACUCUUUUUUUCCCCUCCUCCCCAAUAAUCAACUCAUUCUCCAAAUCAUGUUCCAUAGCUGUUUGACUUUCAGCAAAUGGAGCUAUUUUCCUUUCUGGUUGAAAAGAGAGCCUGUUACCUUCCAGAUUAAAACCUAGAAUAGGAUCAACAAUUCCCUCGAAUUUUUUUACACAUCCCCAAACUCUGUUUCCCCUAAAUGCACCCUUUUUAAUCGUUCCCCCUUCAGAUCCUCCUUCCUCCCUUAACCAGACACUAUUCAUUGCUUGGGCUCUUCUGGACUGUGCUCGCAAGGACAAAUCCCAUUCCAAUUCAUUAACUUCAACUCCAGCCUCCAUUUUAGCUUCACAAAAGGAAUCAUUGUGGCCUAAACGGCCACAGUAGAAGCAAAAGAGAGUAAGUCUUUCGUAUUGAAAUCUAACAUAUGAGCAUUUGUUUUGGAACAUAACCUGUUUUUUCCUUUUUAGCGGUCGUCGAAUAUCAACUUGAACCCUAAUUCGCAUAAAGUUCAUAUUUUCUUUCCCCAAACAGGAGCCAUCAUAAUCUUGAAAAUUUCCAAUAAAAUUUCCUAAUUGCAUAGCCAAAUUCUCGGAAUAAAACCCAAUGGGAACACCAUGAACUUGAACCCAGAACGGUGAAAAAAUCAGUGGAACUCUCAGAGGGUUUUCCCCUCUUUUCAGCUUGUGCAGAAUCAGUAAAUGAUUAUUAAAUGUCCAAGGAGCACCAUUAAUAACUCUUUCCAUAUCUAUAAUAUGAAAAAAUUUAAAUAAGUACCUCUUCUUUCCUAGAUCCCUAAUUUGAACACCUCUAACAGGAUGCCAUAAAUUUGCCAUGGUGCUUUUCAUUCUUGGAUAAUGUAUGAUACUGGCUGUAAGAAAACAACCAACCAGACUAAGAAAUUCUUCCUCAUUCACCGGAUCUGAAUCGUUUUGUACUUGCAGGAUCUCUUCUUCUUCUUCAUCAAGGGAUAGACCAGCAAAAUCUGACUCCAUAGACGCAGGUUAAAAUAGUGGAAAGAGGAAAAAAAAUUCUGUUCAAAAUCUCUAAAUCAGGGUAGGUGCUGCUGAAAACGAGAGACUCAAGAAAAAACCAAAAACCUUGGCAGAGAGGCAGACAAAGACGUGCUAGGGUAGCAGACUAUUCUUGUAUUUAAAUGAAAUUUAGAUUUAGUGAUAACUUAAGUUUUAUUAAUCCAAUUAGCAUGGAUUUAUCUAAAAAGUUAAAGUAUUUUCAUUUAAUUAAUAGCUAAAAAGACAAGUUCCAUUAUCACUUUCAAUUAAAUUUUAAUAUUUUAACUACUGAAGUAGUUAAUAAUAUUGUUUUUUUGGACGAGUAAAAAAACAAUAUUUCUUUUAGUUUGUUAUACGGAAUAAAAAUAUAUUAUCUCAUGAAUAAAAAAUAACAUAUAUUUU
rnacentral:lncRNA from 1 species